rnacentral:rRNA from 1 species
CCUACGGGAGGCAGCAGUGGGGAAUAUUGCACAAUGGGGACACCCUGAUGCAGCGACGCCGCGUGAGUGAAGGAGUAUUUCGGUAUGUAAAGCUCUAUCAGCCGGGAAGAAGGAAGUCGGUACCUGAAUAAGUAGCCCCGGCUAACUACGUGCCAGCAGCCGCGGUAAUCCGUAGGGGGCAAGCGUUAUCCGGAUUUACUGGGUGUAAAGGGAGCGUAGACGGCUGUGCAAGUCUGAAGUGAAAGCCCAGGGCUCAACCCGGUGACUGCUUUUGAUACUGUGGAGCUAGAGGGCUGUGGAGGGAAGUAGAAUUCCAUGUGUAGCGGUGAAAUGCGUAGAGAUGAGGAGGAACACCAGUGGCGAAGGCGGCUUACUGGACAGUAACUGACGUUGAGGCGCGAAAGCGUGGGGAGCAAACAGGAUUAGAUACCCGGGUAGUC